rnacentral:lncRNA from 1 species
UGGACUGUGCCUGCUCCAGUCUUCCUCUUGCAUCAUGGAAGCCAUUCUUCCCUUCACAGGCUUGACUUCAUUCUUACCCACAAGGGGGAAGGGUGAAGAUUGGCUCUGAGAUGUGACCCCAGCUUCUAGACUGUCUAUGUGAAGUGGUAUUAUCUGAUCUUUUCUCAGUUGCCAUUCUAUAGGCACAGUGAUGUGCAAGGCUCUAGCUAGGUGCUAGAUCCCAGGAUCAUUAAUGUCAUGGACAACCUGUGCCCAAGGAGCUAACACACUGACACAGUCCAGGACAUCCAGGAAUACAAAGGUGGUGAGAUGUCCCCAGCUAUGGUUCUGACCUUCAGAAAAGCAGUCAAAGGUCAUGAGGAUUUCUGACAGAAUCAACACAGGCUGAUGCCUGUAAACCAAAGUCCUUUCCUGUUUGGAGCUGCUGAGUGUAGUCUGAACUGUGAGUCUGGACCUGCUCUCUCAGUGAAGGCACAACUUCUUGAACUCUGACUCUGAACUGUAGUUGUGGCUAAUGCUGCUUAUGAUCCAAAAAUCUAAUUCAGCAGUGAAAAUAUAAGCUUCCAACCUCUAACCUGGAACAUUCUGUCUCAGAAAGGACAGUGUGUACACUUGAAUGGAAAGACCAGAUCCUGGUGCUUUCCCACAAGAAGUUGCUGAAUGUGGCUACCUGGAAGGACAACCAAAGAGGGCUGCCAGAGAGAAGGCCACUACCAAUUAGCCAAGCAACCUCAGCUACAUCAUCACAAGCAUCUGUAGUAUGGAGGUCUGGUAAACACGGUGUGGGCCUCUUCCUUCCCUGGAUGCCACCAUCAAGUGAGAUAUAGGUCGUUCACAUCACUGUGUGGACCUAGAAUUCCUCUGCAGGUCCUUUUACAGGAGUGGAGUCCCUCCCUCCAAGAGAGGUUAGCAACUGGUCAGACAUUCAGGCCAUUUUCCUCUGCUAGCCUGUGCUUCUUUGAGUAGGUCCAAUUCAGUGCUACUAGGUCAUGCCUGUUCCAGUAUCCUGAACUCAGUGAGGAGGUUGGACCAAGUGUCAAAGGAAUGAAGGUCAAGCUCUGGAUUUUAUCAGAGAGUCUGAGCAAGACCACUGAUGUUCUGGGAAAAACUUGACUUUUCAGUGGGAUCUUCAUCUGCUGUACAUAACCAACAACCUCUGCCGUGAUGAAAACCAGAGGAUGAUAAAAGGUGCUGCAGUUGGCAUGACUGCUGACAAGAGACACUGAGAGGUUCACUUCAAAUUCAAUAUUCAGAUCGUCUUCAUGGACUUUUCUUAGUCUCCCCUUAGAGACAGAACUGAAAUUCACCAUGGACCACAUCUUUUACAUGCAGCCCCUGUGCAGGGAGGAGAACAAAGACCUGGAGAUGUCAUGCUGUUCACCUGAACAAAGAUUUUUACCCAUUUAAGAGUCUGGAAAUAGGCUGGACCCACUGUUGACAGUGCAGAAGAGCAAGCAACCAACACCAGACCUUCUGGGUGCUAGGACCCUGUCACUAUUCAUGGGGUAUCUAGGAUGACUCUGUACAGGCGGUAUGGCAGAAGUUAAUUCUUUCCAAAAAACAGCCUGACUGACAUAGUGAAGAGAGCUCCCACAACCUCCCAGUCACAGUCUCCAUCAGCUCUUGCAUGUCUCCUUGGCUAUCAAUUCAGAGAGUUUGUGAUUCUCCUGACAGGAGAGCUCCAGCAAAAUCUCGGACUUCAGUCUCAUGAUACUGAACAGACUGUUCUAGCUGAUGAGGCCGGGCUUAGAAGAUGGACUACAGCCAAGAACCCUGGCCACCAUAACAACAAGUCACACCUUUAGGAAACACUUGAAAAGCACUUAUGCACAGUAGAAAAGUACAAGGAUUAAAGUCUCCUCAGGCAUUCCAGCAUAGAGAGAGUCUGACAGACUCAGGUCAGAGGUUACCUCCAAAUAAUAGAAGAGGAAGAAGGUCCUGCUUGACAGAAGAAGCCUGUGGCUGAGGCCAUUGCAACAAGGACUAUGAUUGUGAAACUUGUUUCUCCGUGGAUACCGGUUUCAGAAAUCUUGUGCCCAGGUACCCACAGUCCUCCUCACAUACCUCAUUUUAUAGAACUUUGCAAGUCCUGACAUUCUGUCAUGUCCUGAUGAUAUCCCACUAGACACAUCGGGUAACAAAGAUUUUUACCCAUUUAAGAGUCUGGAAAUAGGCUGGACCCACUGUUGACAUUAAAGGUGCAUUUCUC